CAGUAGCCGCGGUAAUACGUAGGGUGCAAGCGUUAAUCGGGAUUACUGGGCGUAAAGCGUGCGCAGGCGGUUAUAUAAGUCAGAUGUGAAAUCCCCGGGCUCAACCUGGGAACUGCAUUUGAGACUGUAUGGCUAGAGUGUGUCAGAGGGGGGUAGAAUUCCACGUGUAGCAGUGAAAUGCGUAGAUAUGUGGAGGAAUACCGAUGGCGAAGGCAGCCCCCUGGGAUAACACUGACGCUCAUGCACGAAAGCGUGGGGAGCAAACAGGAUUAGAUACCCCAGUAGUCCCUGUCUCUUAUAC
rnacentral:rRNA from 1 species